rnacentral:misc_RNA from 1 species
AGUAAAAUGCGAGAACACAACCACGACGCUGUACAGGUUUGUAUAAGUUUUUUGGACUGGUCAUUCACCAAAACUUCUCUUAUGUUGAAUAUUUCAGUAGUUGUGUCACCGGCAUCAGAAGAGAUCGACACUGACUCUUGAUCCUUGGGUGUAUUGAACUCCCUGGUGCUAGGAGAAUUAAGUCUAGAACGAGAGUGUAAUGGAGUCCGAGUAGAUGAACCUGCCAUAGUCUCACCUCGACCAUUUCUUGUUUCAGUUAUUGAAUAUUGAGAGGAUACGAAGCUGUUCAAUGGUGGUACUCCAUUACGAGAUACCAGCAACAAAGAUAGCUCCUCAGAGUUACUAACCAAAAGGA